UACGUAGGGAGCGAGCGUUGUUCGGAAUUACUGGGCGUAAAGGGUGUGUAGGUGGGUUUGUAAGCCCUGAGUGAAAUCCCCCGGCUCAACUGGGGAACUGCUUGGGGUACUGCAAGUCUUGAGUACAGGAGAAGAGAGUGGAAUUCUCGGUGUAGCGGUGAAAUGCGUAGAUAUCGAGAAGAACACCUGCGGUGAAAACGGCUCUCUAUCCUGACACUGACACUGAGACACGAAAGCUAGGGGAGCGAAUGGG
rnacentral:rRNA from 1 species